GACGAACGCUGGCGGCGUGCCUAAUACAUGCAAGUAGAACGCUGAAGAGAGGAGCUUGCUCUUCUUGGAUGAGUUGCGAACGGGUGAGUAACGCGUAGGUAACCUGCCUUGUAGUGGGGGAUAACUAUUGGAAACGAUAGCUAAUACCGCAUAACGAUGGAUGACACAUGUCAUUUAUUUGAAAGGGGCAAUUGCUCCACUACAAGAUGGACCUGCGUUGUAUUAGCUAGUAGGUGAGGUAAUGGCUCACCUAGGCGACGAUACAUAGCCGACCUGAGAGGGUGAUCGGACACCCUUGGACUGAGACACGGCCCAGUCUCCUACGGGAGGCAGCAGUAGAGAAUCCUCGGCAAUGGGGGCAAGCCUGACCGAGCAACGCCGCGUGAGUGAAGAAGGUUGUCGGAUCGUAAAACUCGGUUGUAAGUCAAGAACGGGUGUGAGAGUGGAGAGUUCACACUGUGACGGUAGCUUACCAGAAAGGGACGGCUAACUACGUG
rnacentral:rRNA from 1 species